UCCCUUCCCGGUGGGGGCGGCACUACAGUUACCCUGGCAACGACGCGCCGCACCAGCGGAAGCAGUGACGACAGGGGCUGCGCGCGUGGAGACGGAGGCGGGGCUUCCGGCGGAAGUGGGCUCUGCGGCUGCGAGCUCGGGAAGAUGCUGCGCGCGGUGUGGUGGUGGCUGUGCCUCGGCCUGUGUGGCCUCCUCGUGGGGCGGGCGAAGGCUCCGAGCCCGGUGGAGCCGCUGGAGCAGAGCCGGCCGUACGCGGUGCUGCGGGGGCAGAACCUGGUGUUGAUGGGAACCAUUUUCAGCAUCCUGCUGGUGACCAUGAUCCUUAUGGCAUUUUGUGUCUACAAACCCAUUCGGCGUCGAUGACAGCCGAGCAAGCAAGUGCUCCCAGGAGUAUUUGGGAACAGAAUAAGUUGUGUUGCACAUGGGUCAGUGGAGACGUUGGAAUCCGAACUUUCAUGCUUGGAAAUGACGUUUGGUCUGGACAAUUGGUAAAUGCUGAUUUAGAAAAAACAGCUAGCAGUUUUUUUGUAACACUGUAAUGCAAAUAAUUGGCCACUGAGUCUGCUUCUAGUAUUUUUUUUUGUAUGUGGCUUACUUGUUAGUAAGACCUAAAGCUCAGUGUAAAGUUCUGUGUAAAAAUGGAGUGCUCAUGAGAAAGGAAACACAGUAACCUUGUGAUAUAAAACCACAUUGGGAAGGACUAGUCAUUAAUGUCUGAAAAGAUGAAGACGACAUAACAUGUAGACAGACAUUCAGUACUUAAGCAGCACUGGUGACAAUAGGUUAAGAAUCACAACGUUUGUAAUUGCACUGAGUUGGCACAGAGUACUCUGGUUGCAAAGCAGUGUCCACUGUGGGGAGCUUGGGCCGUCAUCCCUCAUCCAGCAUCGGCUCUGCACUCAGGUGCCCCCACUGAAGUCAGGGUCACAGCAGGUAGGCCAAUGGUCAUGUGUACGCUUGGGCUGGAAGGCUCGGGUUGGACUGAAAAUGUUUCUGGUUGGCCCAUCUGAAAGAGAACUACUUGCUGCUCAAACGUGCGGAUCUCCCUGGUACUGCACUUAAAUCUCCAGCCCUUGGCCUGAAACUUGCGGCAGCUUUUCAGAUUUGGAAUCUAAGAGACUUAGCAGAAACGCUUUCUCUCGGCCCUGGGUGGGAAGGACUCACUGUACUAGGCAGAGUGGCGAGUGGGUAUGUGUUUACACAAACUUAAUUUCAGCUUUGGAAACGCUGCUGUUUGUUUGCACUGUUGGUGAACUGGAUCUUCCCCCUAUUGAAAUGAUACUUUUGUGCUUACAAUGUGGUCAUCAGUAUUUAUUUUAUCUUAAAGGUGCUAAGUUUAAUUGUGUUGUUAAAUUGAAAUGCGUAUCUUGUGCUCCAAACACAGCAUGAGUUUUUUUUUUUAAACCUGCACUUAAUGUGAAAUAACUGAUGUGGGAUCCUGUAACUCUUUGACUUAAGGAUUUUGUUUGUAACCUUAACAUUGAGGCAUUCAAAUGUUAACUGUUCUGUGCUUUUCAGCAAAUGUCAACUAAAAUUAAAGUUAAAUCUUACAUCCUG